GCCCGGUUAGCUCAAUCGGUAGAGCGUGAGACUCUUAAUCUCAAGGUUGCGGGUAAGUUAAUACUCUCUCCUGUGA